GAUAAAGAAGAAAAGAUAAGGAUUACUGCUCGACUCCACUAUCCAGGACACGUCUGAUCCUUUCUCUCCUUCUCUUUUGUAUAAAUAAGGGAGACCUCACCCUUGUUGAGGCAGAACUUUCUUUAGAAUUUUCCUUUGUAUUCUCUUUGUACCUCUCUCUGUAAAAUACUUGAUAAAUAUAUAAAUCUGAAGUUUGAAGAUAUCCAAGAC
rnacentral:lncRNA from 1 species